rnacentral:rRNA from 1 species
GAGGAAAAGAAACCAACAGGGAUUGCCUCAGUAACGGCGAGUGAAGCGGCAAAAGCUCAAAUUUGAAAUCCCCCGGGAAUUGUAAUUUGAAGGACCUAUUAAAACCCUGAGAGAGCCCAAAGUCCAUUGGAAAAUGGCGCCAUAGAAGGUGAUAGCCCUGUGUGGACCUCUCUCAGCAUACUUUUUAGGCCCAAAGAGUCGAGUUGUUUGGGAAUGCAGCUCUAAGUGGGUGGUAAAUUCCAUCUAAAGCUAAAUAUUGGCGAGAGACCGAUAGCGAACAAGUACAGUGAUGGAAAGAUGAAAAGCACUUUGAAAAGAGAGUGAAAAAGUACGUGAAAUUGUUGAAAGGGAAGGGCUUGCAAGCAGACACAACCUCGGUUGGGCCAGCAUCGGGGCGGGGGGAAACAAAAAAGGUGUGGAAUGUGGCUCUUACGAGUGUUAUAGCCCCACCCAAUAUUUCCAUCCCAUCCCGAGGCCUGCGAUUCUUCAAGGAUGCUGGCGUAAUGGUUGCAAGUCGCCC